ensembl:lncRNA
UCCCACAUGUCAAAAACAAGACAUCUGAAAUGAGUUAAGCUUGAUUAAUCUUGAUGUGUGCAUCUUCUCACUGAACAUGACUUGCGUUACAUGAACCGACGUCACGCCGCACUGAGAGAAUCAUCCUCACUAUACGACACAGUUUUCAAAGGGAGACUUUUUUUUUUUUUUAGUUUUAGUGUCGUUGUAGUUUCUAAGCAACAGAAAUCCGGGUACGAAGAGUUCGAUGAAGCAGCAGACGGCUUCACGAGGAACGAGCGACUUCAUCUCAAGUUGAACAACAAGUAUCAUUGCAGCUACAGAUUCGACGGGCACAACUUGAGAGCAACUGGUCUCAGAGCUUCUGAAUACAUAAAUAUGGACUCCGCCCAAGUCUGAAAUGCUAAGGAGCAACCGUAGUUCUUCACUACUCAUCUCAUGUGCUGACCACCGGCCUUCUAAAGCCAGGUUAACACGCUGAUCCGUCCGCAUCCACUGUUUUCAACGUGAGCAAGAUGGCCGCUGCUGGGAGAAGGCCCUCGCGGUCGGCGCGCCAUGUGACCACGGCAACCACAGAAAACCUCAGCAAAGGAACCGAUACAGGAGCCGGAUAUCACAAUGACUUGGCCUCGGAUUCCCUGUGCGGUUGCAAAUUCCCAACGAGGACACUGAAGUCAAUGCCCAUCCAAUUACUUCGUUCUAAAGUAUGUAAAAUCAUGCAACGGUGAGGAAAGGAAGGAUUAGGCUACGGCUCGACUAUAGCAUGAGGUUCUCUUUCCUUCCAAAGACUCUGAAUGUCAAAUCUUUUUUUUUCUUUUGUGUGUGUGUGUGUGUUGUUUAAUUAGAGAAUGCUUAUCAUAGACGCAUGGCGCGCUACUGAGAGGUGACAGCACCCCAGUGUUGUAAAAUUAAUUAUAUCACUAAUGUGGACCCUGUGCAUGUGAAAUAGCUGAACUCUCCCCAAAUAGCUCAUUAAUCUUCAGACAGCCACUCCUGGACUAGGUGAAGUGGUCUUGAAUUUCAAUACCCAUCCUUGCUGGUUGUAACCUUUCCCUCCUCUCGCUCGAGCAGCCGAUGGGGGAACAGGAGCAUUGGAGAGAGAAUAAUAUUGUCUGCAGCGGUAUCUCUAGCACUUCUCUCUGUGAGUCAUAUAAUUACACACACCUACGCAGUUUUCCUAAACACACACACACUCUCUCUCACACACACACACUUGCGCAAAACCAGGCUUAGAGUUUAAAGUGGAGUACGCCCGAGAAGUGCUGAUGUAUCCUAUGAUUAUUAAAAAAAGAAAAAAUACUGCCCGCCGCACUAGCAUAAACAAAUCACUUGAAAUGAAAUUUUUCAGGUAAUAAA